rnacentral:rRNA from 1 species
GAUGAACGCUGGCGGCGUGCCUAAUACAUGCAAGUCGAGCGAACAGACGAGGAGCUUGCUCCUCUGACGUUAGCGGCGGACGGGUGAGUAACACGUGGAUAACCUACCUAUAAGACUGGGAUAACUUCGGGAAACCGGAGCUAAUACCGGAUAACAUGUUGAACCGCAUGGUUCAACAGUGAAAGACGGUCUUGCUGUCACUUAUAGAUGGAUCCGCGCCGCAUUAGCUAGUUGGUAAGGUAACGGCUUACCAAGGCAACGAUGCGUAGCCGACCUGAGAGGGUGAUCGGCCACACUGGAACUGAGACACGGUCCAGACUCCUACGGGAGGCAGCAGUAGGGAAUCUUCCGCAAUGGGCGAAAGCCUGACGGAGCAACGCCGCGUGAGGGAAGAAGGUCUUCGGAUCGUAAAACUCUGUUAUUAGGGAAGAACAAAUGUGUAAGUAACUAUGCACGUCUUGACGGUACCUAAUCAGAAAGCCACGGCUAACUACGUG